AGUAAAUCUCAUCCGAUUUUGCUAGAUUUAGUUUUUUAUGGAAGAUAAUUGAAUACCGAAAAGAACGUGGCGAAAAAAGUUUCAAAUUUGGGCCGUUGGACUAAGACCGCUACUCGCCCCUAAGUGUUUUUUGUACAUAAAUCGAGUAAAUCUCAUCCGAUUUUGCUAGAUUUAGUUUUUUAUGGAAGGUAAUUGAAUGCCGAAUAGAAUGAUG